UACGUAGGGGGCGAGCGUUACCCGGAUUUACUGGGCGUAAAGAGCGUGUAGGCGGCUGGCCAAGCGUGAUGUGAAAUCUUCGGGCUUAACCCGAAAACUGCAUUGCGAACUGGUCUGGCUAGAGUGUGUGAGAGGGUAGUGGAAUUCCCGGUGUAGCGGUGAAAUGCGCAGAUAUCAGGAGGAACACCGGUGGCGAAGGCGGGUCUCUGGGCCGAUACUGACGCUGAGGAGCGAAAGCGUGGGGAGCGAACAGG
rnacentral:rRNA from 1 species